AAUAAAGAUUUUCCCGCCAUUUAUGGCUACUGUUUUCGACCUAGCUCAGUGGCGCCCCCAACGUAAAGUACAGAAAAAUGUACCAACUAGAACACUUAAAAACAAAUGGAGAAACUUUCAAAUGCUUUGAAUUACCGUUGCUGGAUUACUGUUGAGGUUAUGUUUGACCUUGGUAUGACUGGCAGGGUAGUCAUCGUCAUGUUCCAAUUGCAUGCCCCCUCUCUGCCACAUCAGUAAAAUUUGCCACAAAAGUUUUAAAAAACGACUUUAAACAACAAAAAAGGCCCUAUUUUCAUUAACAAUGAGACAUAUCUCGCUGCAUGCGGCACGACAUAGGCCUCAUAGACCAAUCUCAUUGUGAAUGGUUUUCGCUGAGAUCACUUUGAGAGGGUUUCACUGAGACUGACGUUGGCGGAAGGCUGAAACCUGCCUCGCGACAAGUCUUUGCACCAACAUUCGAAAACGCUGUCAAUGGCUUAAAAUGAUAAACUUUGUCAGUUUUUUUGUGUCUUUUGGGAUUAGUCUUUGAGUCCUGUCGCGCCGCAUGUAGCGAAACAGAUCUCAUUGUGAAUGGGUUCUUUAAGAAACAGUUUCAAUGUAAACCACAAGACAUACACUGAGACGGCCUCAUGCCUCAUAUCAUGGCUUGUAAUUGACAGCGUUUUAUAGAAUGAUUUGGAAUCAUAAUGCAGAGAUGGUUGCUAGACAGGCAGGCAGGUCUCAAGCCUACUGCAGAAGUCGCUCUCAGUGAGUCCAUGUCUUAGAGAUGCAAGACCAAUUUAGACCAUUUACAGUGAGAUUGGUGUCCGAGACCUAUGUCAUGCAGGAAGCCAAACUUUAUCGUGAAUGGACCCUUUUCAAUGAGUGUGUACUUUUUGAAUAAAUUUGAAAUGGCCUUUUUGAAAAAAACAGUUGUCUCUCUUUUAUUCAUCUAUUCAACACGUUUGUAUUCGAUGCACUUACACCAAUUUCAUUAUCAGUGUCUUGAUUAUCAGGCAAGGGCAAAGUGGAAUUGGGGGCAACACAGAAAUAAAAACACUUUAAUUUCCUUUAUUAGUAGGCUAUA